CAUGCAAGUCGAACGGAAAGGCCCUUCGGGGUACUCGAGUGGCGAACGGGUGAGUAACACGUGGGUGAUCUGCCCUGCACUUUGGGAUAAGCCUGGGAAACUGGGUCUAAUACCGGAUAGGACCACGGUCUGCAUGGAUUGUGGUGGAAAGCUUUUGCGGUGUGGGAUGGGCCCGCGGCCUAUCAGCUUGUUGGUGAGGUUACGGCUCACCAAGGCGACGACGGGUAGCCGGCCUGAGAGGGUGUCCGGCCACACUGGGACUGAGAUACGGCCCAGACUCCUACGGGAGGCAGCAGUGGGGAAUAUUGCACAAUGGGCGCAAGCCUGAUGCAGCGACGCCGCGUGAGGGAUGACGGCCUUCGGGUUGUAAACCUCUUUCGCCAGGGACGAAGCGCAAGUGACGGUACCUGGAGAAGAAGCACCGGCCAACUACGUGCCAGCAGCCGCGGUAAUACGUAGGGUGCGAGCGUUGUCCGGAAUUACUGGGCGUAAAGAGCUCGUAGGUGGUUUGUCGCGUUGUUCGUGAAAACUCACA
rnacentral:rRNA from 1 species